CGCACCGUGGUGUACGGAACACGCGCCGGAAUACUAUGGAAGUAAUAAAAAGAUAGCCGGCGAGCCGGGGUUCGACUCCCCGCGGUGCCC